ensembl:snoRNA
GAAGUGUGCUCAGAUCAAAGGAAGAGGAAUGGCUCCUCUUCUUACAAACCAUGUAACAGCAAUCUGGGGUCACUGUGAUGAAGGGUACAACAAUGAUGGCUUCUAUAUGUGCAAAUGCCCCAUAGGU